rnacentral:rRNA from 1 species
GUCCUACGGGACGCAGCAGAGAAUCUUCCACAAUGGGCGAAAGCCUGAUGGAGCAACGCCGCGUGGGUGAAGAAGGUCUUCGGAUCGUAAAACCCUGUUGUUAGAGAAGAAAGUGCGUGAGAGUAACUGUUCACGUUUCGACGGUAUCUAACCAGAAAGCCACGGCUAACUACGUGCCAGCAGCCGCGGUAAUACGUAGGUGGCAAGCGUUAUCCGGAUUUAUUGGGCGUAAAGGGAACGCAGGCGAUCUUUUAAGUCUGAUGUGAAAGCCUUCGGCUUAACCGGAGUAGUGCAUUGGAAACUGG